rnacentral:rRNA from 1 species
AUCGAACGCUGGCGGCAGGCCUAAUACAUGCAAGUCGAACGAGUGGCGGACGGGUGAGUAAUGUCUGGGCAACUGCCUGAUGGAGGGGGAUAACUACUGGAAACGGUAGCUAAUACCGCAUACCAUCAGAGGUGCCCAGAUGGGAUUAGCUGGUUGGUGGGGUAACGGCUCACCAAGGCGACGCUCCCUAGCUGGUCUGCGAGGGUGACCGGCCACACGGGGACUGAGACACGGUCCAGUCUCCUACGGGAGGCAGCAGUUGGGAAUAUUGCACAAUGGGCGCAAGCCUGAUGCAGCCAUGCCGCGGGAAUGAAGAAGGCCUUCGGGUUGUAAAGUUCUUUCAGCGGGGAGGCGUUACCCGCAGAAAAAGCACCGGCUAACUCCGUGCCAGCAGCCGCGGUAAUUC